rnacentral:misc_RNA from 1 species
GAUGAAGAACGCAGCAAAAUGCGAUAAGUAAUGUGAAUUGCAGAAUUCAGUGAAUCAUCGAAUCUUUGAACGCACAUUGCGCCCGCCAGUAUUCUGGCGGGCAUGCCUGUUCGAGCGUCAUUUCAACCAUCAAGCCUUCGCUUGUGUUGGGGCCCCGCGGCUGCCGCGGUCCCCUAAAUCCAGUGGCGGGCUCGUCGUCGUACCGAGCGCAGUAGACAUCCUCGCUCCGGGAACCCGACGGGUGCCGGCCGUGAAACCCCCCACAUCAAGGUUGACCUCGGAUCAGGUAGGAAUACCCGCUGAACUUAAGCAUAUCAAUAAGCGGAGGA